rnacentral:rRNA from 1 species
GAGUUUGAUCCUGACUCAGAACGAACGCUGGCGGCGUGCUUAACACAUGCAAGUCCGACGUGAAAGGGGAGCAAUCCCCCGGUAAGGUGGCGAACGGGUGAGUAAGACAUGGGAAUCUGCCCUGGAGAUGGGGAUAUCCUUCCGAAAGGGGGGCUAAUACCGAAUAACGUCCGGGUUCCGGGAGGGAUCCGGGGAAAGGGAGGCCUCUGGCAACAUGCUUCCGCUCCAGGAGGAGCCCAUGGCCCAUCAGCUAGUUGGUAGGGUAACGGCCUACCAAGGCGAAGACGGGUAGCUGGUCUGAGAGGACGAUCAGCCACACUGGCACUGAGACACGGGCCAGACUCCUACGGGAGGCAGCAGUGAGGAAUUUUGCGCAAUGGGGGCAACCCUGACGCAGCAACGCCGCGUGUGGGAAGAAGGCUUUCGGGUUGUAAACCACUUUUGUGAGGGACGAAGUCCUGCCGGUCAAUACCCGGCGGGGAUGACGGUACCUUGCGAAUAAGCCACGGCUAACUCUGUGCCAGCAGCCGCGGUAAGACAGGGGUGGCAAGCGUUGUUCGGAGUGACUGGGCGUAAAGGGUCUGUAGGUGGUUUUUCAAGUCUUUGGUAAAAAGCCGUGGCUUAACCAUGGUGAGGCCAAGGAGACUGGGAGACUCGAGGCUGGGAGAGGGAAGCGGAAUUUCUGGUGUAGCGGUGAAAUGCGUAGAGAUCAGAAAGAAGGCCGGUGGCGAAGGCGGCUUCCUGGAACAGACCUGACACUGAGAGACGAAAGCGUGGGG